rnacentral:rRNA from 1 species
GAAUAUGCCCUUUGGUACGGAAUAGCCUCUGGAAACGGAGAGUAAUACCGUAUGAGCCCUUCGGGGGAAAGAUUUAUCGCCAAAGGAUUAGCCCGCGUUAGAUUAGGUAGUUGGUGGGGUAAUGGCCUACCAAGCCUACGAUCUAUAGCUGGUUUUAGAGGAUGAUCAGCAACACUGGGACUGAGACACGGCCCAGACUCCUACGGGAGGCAGCAGUGGGGAAUCUUGGACAAUGGGGGCAACCCUGAUCCAGCCAUGCCGCGUGAGUGAUGAAGGCCUUAGGGUCGUAAAGCUCUUUCGCCUGUGAAGAUAAUGACGGUAGCAGGUAAAGAAACCCCGGCUAACUCCGUGCCAGCAGCCGCGGUAAUACGGAGGGGGUUAGCGUUGUUCGGAAUUACUGGGCGUAAAGCGCACGUAGGCGGAUCGGGAAAGUUGGGGGUGAAAUCCCGGGGCUCAACCCCGGAACUGCCUCCAAAACUAUCGGUCUAGAGUUCGAGAGAGGUGAGUGGAAUUCCGAGUGUAGAGGUGAAAUUCGUAGAUAUUCGGAGGAACACCAGUGGCGAAGGCGGCUCACUGGCUCGAUACUGACGCUGAGGUGCGAAAGUGUGGGGAGCAAACAGGAUUAGAUACCCUGGUAGUCCACACCGUAAACGAUGAAUGCCAGUCGUCGGGUAGCAUGCUAUUCGGUGACACACCUAACGGAUUAAGCAUUCCGCCUGGGGAGUACGGUCGCAAGAUUAAAACUCAAAGAAAUUGACGGGGGCCCGCACAAGCGGUGGAGCAUGUGGUUUAAUUUUCGAAGCAACGCGCAGAACCUUACCAACCCUUGACAUCCUAGGACCGUUCCAGAGAUGGAUCUUUCACUUCGGUGACCUAGUGACAGGUGCUGCAUGGGCUGUCGUCAGCUCGUGUCGUGAGAUGUUCGGUUAAGUCCGGCAACGAGCGCAACCCACAUCCUUAGUUGCCAGCAGUGUCGGCUGGGCACUCUAGGGAAACUGCCCGUGAUAAGCGGGAGGAAGGUGUGGAUGACGUCAAGUCCUCAUGGCCCUUACGGGUUGGGCUACACACGUGCUACAAUGGCAGUGACAAUGGGUUAAUCCCAAAAAACUGUCUCAGUUCGGAUUGGGGUCUGCAACUCGACCCCAUGAAGUCGGAAUCGCUAGUAAUCGCGUAACAGCAUGACGCGGUGAAUACGUUCCCGGGCCUUGUACACACCGCCCGUCACACCAUGGGAGUUGGUUCUACCCGACGGCCGUGCGCUAACC